GACGAACGCUGGCGGCGUGCCUCAAACAUGCAAGUCGAGCGGACGGAGACCGAACCGCAAGGGGAGGUUGAAGUUAGCGGCGAACGGGUGAGUAACACGUGGGUAACCUACCCUAAAGUCUGGGACAACGGCCCGAAAGGGCCGCUAAUACCGGAUAAUGUCUUCGGGUCGCAUGGCCUGGGGAAGAAAGCCGAAAGGCGCUUAUGGAUGGGCUCGCGUCCCAUCAGCUAGUUGGUAAGGUAACGGCUUACCAAGGCGACGACGGGUAGCCGGUCUGAGAGGAUGGUCGGCCACACUGGGACUGAGAUACGGCCCAGACUCCUACGGGAGGCAGCAGUUGGGAAUAUUGGGCAAUGGGCGAAAGCCUGACCCAGCGACGCCGCGUGAGGGAAGAAGGCCUUGGGUCGUAAACCUCUGUCAUCGGGGACGAAGAAAGUGACGGUACCCGAGGAGGAAGCCCCUGCUAACUACGUG
rnacentral:rRNA from 1 species